AUCCUUGCGCUUGGGGCAAUGACGCAGCUAGUGAAGUUAUACCGAGGCGCGUCAAUUGCUGGUUCCCUGUGCCGGGGCGCGAGCGGGGGCAUCGCGACGGCUGUCGUCUACGCCCUGGAACGCUUUGACGGCACGCGGGCCUCCUUCGCCAACUUCAUAUGGGG
rnacentral:snRNA from 9 species